UUGAAGAGUUUGAUCAUGGCUCAGAUUGAACGCUGGCGGCAGGCCUAACACAUGCAAGUCGAGCGGUAGCACAGAGAGCUUGCUCUCGGGUGACGAGCGGCGGACGGGUGAGUAAUGUCUGGGAAACUGCCUGAUGGAGGGGGAUAACUACUGGAAACGGUAGCUAAUACCGCAUAAUGUCGCAAGACCAAAGUGGGGGACCUUCGGGCCUCAUGCCAUCAGAUGUGCCCAGAUGGGAUUAGCUUGUAGGUGGGGUAACGGCUCACCUAGGCGACGAUCCCUAGCUGGUCUGAGAGGAUGACCAGCCACACUGGAACUGAGACACGGUCCAGACUCCUACGGGAGGCAGCAGUGGGGAAUAUUGCACAAUGGGCGCAAGCCUGAUGCAGCCAUGCCGCGUGUGUGAAGAAGGCCUUCGGGUUGUAAAGCACUUUCAGCGGGGAGGAAGGCGGUGAGGUUAAUAACCUCAUCGAUUGACGUUACCCGCAGAAGAAGCACCGGCUAACUCCGUGCCAGCAGCCGCGGUAAUACGGAGGGUGCAAGCGUUAAUCGGAAUUACUGGGCGUAAAGCGCACGCAGGCGGUCUGUCAAGUCGGAUGUGAAAUCCCCGGGCUCAACCUGGGAACUGCAUUCGAAACUGGCAGGCUAGAGUCUUGUAGAGGGGGGUAGAAUUCCAGGUGUAGCGGUGAAAUGCGUAGAGAUCUGGAGGAAUACCGGUGGCGAAGGCGGCCCCCUGGACAAAGACUGACGCUCAGGUGCGAAAGCGUGGGGAGCAAACAGGAUUAGAUACCCUGGUAGUCCACGCCGUAAACGAUGUCGAUUUGGAGGUUGUGCCCUUGAGGCGUGGCUUCCGGAGCUAACGCGUUAAAUCGACCGCCUGGGGAGUACGGCCGCAAGGUUAAAACUCAAAUGAAUUGACGGGGGCCCGCACAAGCGGUGGAGCAUGUGGUUUAAUUCGAUGCAACGCGAAGAACCUUACCUGGUCUUGACAUCCACAGAACUUAGCAGAGAUGCUUUGGUGCCUUCGGGAACUGUGAGACAGGUGCUGCAUGGCUGUCGUCAGCUCGUGUUGUGAAAUGUUGGGUUAAGUCCCGCAACGAGCGCAACCCUUAUCCUUUGUUGCCAGCGGUCCGGCCGGGAACUCAAAGGAGACUGCCAGUGAUAAACUGGAGGAAGGUGGGGAUGACGUCAAGUCAUCAUGGCCCUUACGACCAGGGCUACACACGUGCUACAAUGGCAUAUACAAAGAGAAGCGACCUCGCGAGAGCAAGCGGACCUCAUAAAGUAUGUCGUAGUCCGGAUUGGAGUCUGCAACUCGACUCCAUGAAGUCGGAAUCGCUAGUAAUCGUAGAUCAGAAUGCUACGGUGAAUACGUUCCCGGGCCUUGUACACACCGCCCGUCACACCAUGGGAGUGGGUUGCAAAAGAAGUAGGUAGCUUAACCUUCGGGAGGGCGCUUACCACUUUGUGAUUCAUGACUGGGGUGAAGUCGUAACAAGGUAACCGUAGGGGAACCUGCGGUUGGAUCACCUCCUU
rnacentral:rRNA from 1 species